rnacentral:rRNA from 2 species
ACGGGAGGCAGCAGUGGGGAAUAUUGCACAAUGGGGGGAACCCUGAUGCAGCGACGCCGCGUGAGUGAAGAAGUAUUUCGGUAUGUAAAGCUCUAUCAGCAGGGAAGAAGAUGACGGUACCUGACUAAGAAGCACCGGCUAAAUACGUGCCAGCAGCCGCGGUAAUACGUAUGGUGCAAGCGUUAUCCGGAUUUACUGGGUGUAAAGGGAGCGCAGGUGGCGAUGCAAGCCAGAAGUGAAAGCCCGGGGCUCAACCCCGGUACUGCUUUUGGAACUGUGUUGCUGGAGUGCAGGAGGGGCAGGCGGAAUUCCUGGUGUAGCGGUGAAAUGCGUAGAUAUCAGGAGGAACACCGGUGGCGAAGGCGGCCUGCUGGACUGUAACUGACACUGAGGCUCGAAAGCGUGGGGAGCAAACAGGAUUAGAUACCCUGGUA